UUGUUUUAUUAAUGAUGAAAUACAUCAUUUGCCACUGGUGACAAGCUGAUCUAUCAGCCCCUGUCAGCAGCAUAACUUUAUUUUCACUGUUAAAUUAAAACAUGGUUUCUAUUGUACAGAAUCUUUUUUCUCACUUUUUGUGUUUUUCAGUGUUAGUUCAGUGCAAAAUAUAUGGAUUAACAAUGUGUUUUUGACUUUACAGGUCAAGUUGGUCAACCCAUAACACGUCGCGUAGCCAUCCUCAUCAUCAUUGCACUGGUGAUGCACUGAAAUGGGGUGACCCUUACCCAGCAAGACUAAGGAAACCCUAAUAAAUCAUAUGAUUUUAGAAGACUUCAUGGGGUUUAAGAUGAGGACUCCAUCACCUUUCAAUGAAAACUAUGCAUUCACAUACCUUUUGUGGUGUGGAGGACCUCUGUGUGCGUUUCAUGGAAAAUGGAGGACAGUUUUUUAUAAUGAAAUCAGAAAUGAUUACUGGCAAUCACACCAAGUCCACCAGUUAGCGAGUGAAGAGGCGAACACAUAUCACUACGCUAGCAUUCAGGACGACUGGAGACAGCUAAGGAGACAUUGUAGAGAAAUAACCGUUAUGGGGCAGUCAGAAUGUCAGGCAGUAAAUGUGAAGAACACUGUGUCACAGUAAAUUAGUGAAGCCAAACCCGCUGUCAUAAUGGAAUAUCUGCUGAUAAAUACUUAAUAUCCAUCAUGUACCUUGUUCACCACCUCAGCAGCUAGUAUUACAUUGUUAGCAAAGUUAGAUAGGGAGCUGUAUGAUGCUAGCGCAAUUAGGCUAUGUUUUAAGAAGUGUCAUUCCUGUCUGACCUAGCUACCACUUACCACUGUCUUUUUGCCACUCAGUAUUAAGAUGCAGAAAGGGCAGCAGAAGAUUGACACCUUUUUCAAAAUAUCUAUUGUAAGUGAUUUCUUAAUGUUCUGUAGGUGGGCAUUAAUUAAGGGAGGCUAAUUUUGAGGCUGAAAAUUAAGUCUUAUUCUUUAUCACUGCAUCCUGCUUUUGUAGGAUAGUCAGUUGCCAGAGACCUCAGUUGUGUCAGAGGGAGCAAAGGGAGGUUCACAGCAAACAGACACACAUUUAGGAUUCAAAUGCCUCGUAAUGUUUAUGUGAAGUUACAGUUUUUGAAAGAGAUAUAUUUAAGGAAGAGAGGCAAAUUGUGGGUGUCUCGGUGUGUUUCUGGUGGAUGGAUAUAAAAUUCCACAGUUUCCUUUUAAAUGUUUUGAUUAGGAUGAAGGUGAGCACCAUGACCCAAACCCGCCUCAACAGUGUUGCUGUGUGCCGUGUACAUAAAGACAAGCUGGAUAGGGUGAACAGAAAAAUGAUUGUGGAUCAAUUUGUCUCUUUUAAGGAAAACAGAGUACUUUUGGUUCUUUUAAUUGUACUGAGUGAAGGUUCAAAUGUUCAUAUAUCCAGUGUUUAAUG